CGGSSGKKYUUWAMMMAUUGCAAGUCGAACGGUGAACACGGAGCUUGCUCUGUGGGAUCAGUGGCGAACGGGUGAGUAACGUGAGCAACCUACCCCUGACUCUGGGAUAAGCGCUGGAAACGGCGUCUAAUACUGGAUACGAGUGGCGACCGCAUGGUCAGCUACUGGAAAGAUUUAUUGGUUGGGGAUGGGCUCGCGGCCUAUCAGCUUGUUGGUGAGGUAAUGGCUCACCAAGGCGUCGACGGGUAGCCGGCCUGAGAGGGUGACCGGCCACACUGGGACUGAGACACGGCCCAGACUCCUACGGGAGGCAGCAGUGGGGAAUAUUGCACAAUGGGCGCAAGCCUGAUGCAGCAACGCCGCGUGAGGGAUGACGGCCUUCGGGUUGUAAACCUCUUUUAGCAGGGAAGAAGCGAAAGUGACGGUACCUGCAGAAAAAGCGCCGGCUAACUACGUGCCAGCCCCGCGGUAAUACA
rnacentral:rRNA from 1 species